UAGGGAAUCUUCCGCAAUGGGCGAAAGCCUGACGGAGCAACGCCGCGUGAGUGAUGAAGGUCUUCGGAUCGUAAAACUCUGUUAUUAGGGAAGAACAAAUGUGUAAGUAACUAUGCACGUCUUGACGGUACCUAAUCAGAAAGCCACGGCUAACUACGUGCCAGCAGCCGCGGUAAUACGUAGGUGGCAAGCGUUAUCCGGAAUUAUUGGGCGUAAAGCGCGCGUAGGCGGUUUUUUAAGUCUGAUGUGAAAGCCCACGGCUCAACCGUGGAGGGUCAUUGGAAACUGGAAAACUUAGGUGCAGAAGAGGAAAGUGGAAUUCCAUGUGUAGCGGUGAAAUGCGCAGAGAUAUGGAGGAACACCAGUGGCGAAGGCGACUUUCUGGUCUGUAACUGACGCUGAUGUGCGAAAGCGUGGGGAUCAAACAGG
rnacentral:rRNA from 1 species